rnacentral:rRNA from 1 species
GAGCAAUCCGCUUUGAGAUGGCCUCGCGUCCGAUUAGCUAGUUGGUGAGGUAAUGGCCCACCAAGGCGACGAUCGGUAGCCGGACUGAGAGGUUGAACGGCCACAUUGGGACUGAGACACGGCCCAGACUCCUACGGGAGGCAGCAGUGGGGAAUAUUGCACAAUGGGGGAAACCCUGAUGCAGCGACGCCGCGUGGAGGAAGAAGGUCUUCGGAUUGUAAACUCCUGUUGUUGAGGAAGAUAAUGACGGUACUCAACAAGGAAGUGACGGCUAACUACGUGCCAGCAGCCGCGGUAAAACGUAGGUCACAAGCGUUGUCCGGAAUUACUGGGUGUAAAGGGAGCGCAGGCGGGCGAUCAAGUUGGAAGUGAAAUCCAUGGGCUCAACCCAUGAACUGCUUUCAAAACUGGUCGUCUUGAGUAGUGCAGAGGUAGGCGGAAUUCCCGGUGUAGCGGUGGAAUGCGUAGAUAUCGGGAGGAACACCAGUGGCGAAGGCGGCCUACUGGGCACCAACUGACGCUGAGGCUCGAAAGUGUGGGUAGCAAACAGGAUUAGAUACCCUGGUAGUCCACACCGUAAACGAUGAUUACUAGGUGUUGGGAGAUUGACCCUCUCAGUGCCGCAGUUAACACAAUAAGUAAUCCACCUG